rnacentral:rRNA from 1 species
UACCCUACGGGGGGCAGCAGUAGGGAAUCUUCCACAAUGGGCGAAAGCCUGAUGGAGCAACGCCGCGUGGGUGAAGAAGGUCUUCGGAUCGUAAAACCCUGUUGUUAGAGAAGAAAGUGCGUGAGAGUAACUGUUCACGUUUCGACGGUAUCUAACCAGAAAGCCACGGCUAACUACGUGCCAGCAGCCGCGGUAAUACGUAGGUGGCAAGCGUUAUCCGGAUUUAUUGGGCGUAAAGGGACUGCAGGCGGUCUUUUCAUACUGAUGUGAAAGCCUUCGGCUUAACCGGAUUAUUGCAUU